CCCUUAGACGUUCUGGGCCGCACGCGCGCUACACUGACCAGUGCAACAAGCAUCCGUCCUUGGCCGACAGGCUCGCGCAAUCUUUGAACGCUGGUCGUGAUGGGGAUAGACUUUUGCAAUUUUUGGUCUUCAACGAGGAAUUCCUAGUAAACGCAAGUCAUCAACUUGCAUUGAUUACGUCCCUGCCCUUUGUACACACCGCCCGUCGCACCUACCGAUUGAAUGGUCCGGUGAAGCCUCCGGAUUGGCGCGCACCUCGGUGCCGCCGAGAAGUUGGCUAAACCUUACCAUUUAGAGGAAGGUGAAGUCGUAACA
rnacentral:rRNA from 1 species